rnacentral:miRNA from 1 species
UAGAAGCUGUGAUUUUUCGAUAUC